AACUUGUAUUUCCACACAUCUGAACAGGCUGCUGCACAAGCUUCCUUCUCACUCACUUGCUUCCCACCCGCUCUUGUUCUGCUUCCUCUUCUCUCUCCCAUAACCAAUUCACUCAGACAGAAUGGAUCUUAUGUAACAUGCCUCCCCGUCACACCCCCAAAAGGUGGCUUCCAAGCUCUGGUUGAAGCACAGACAUCUGCAUUUCCACUUGCAGAAACAAACACCAUGUGGGACUCCCUGGCACCUCUCCAGGGCUGUGAGAUCAGGAGAGGCACACGCUGAAAGAAGUGCUAUCCUGCUUACAACCCACAGUCCCUCCCUGGGCUACCUGGUCACAGAUUACACGAGCAAUUGUCACAUAAUUGUCCUUUAAUGUCUUCCCAGAGAUUUCAACUGGCUCCAAAUUGUUUUUGCUAAUAAAAACUAAGGAGAUUUGCAGGAAACUCCAGAUGCAUUCAAACACUUGGGGGGAUUGAGCAGCCUGAAGGCAGAUGAAACUUAACUCAAAUAAACAUAAGGUAAUGUGCACUGGCAAAAGUAAUCUAAGAUGUGAGUGUACAUCUGUGCACUCCAAAUUUGCAGCCGCCUCUGAGGAAGGAAAUCUGGGAAUAGCUCGUAAUGGAUGAAGUGGGCAGAGCAGCCAAGGCUGUCCCAGAGUAACUACUCCUUGACAAGGAAUAUCGGAUCUCAUUUUGUACAGACUCCAUCAGUGGCCCAAACUGGACCGUGUGGCUUGGUUCUGCUACAGAUUCCAUAGUGUCACUCUUAGCUUUCAGAUGUGGGAAGACAACAAGAAGUGGCUUCCAGGUGCUCGCCUCUGAGGCCAGGAGGCUAUGCGGUGUUCCUGAUGGGGUUUCCAGAUGUCAAAGUUUCUGGUUUGGAAGAUCUGAUGAUCCAAUUUCAGGAAUAUAUUGGUCAGAACCACUUUUUUUUAAAGAUACAAAUGACAAAAAAACUAACUUAAACCUGCUUUAAGCUAAACUGAAUUUAUUGGCUCGCUCGACUCGAAAGUCUCAGGGUUGUCUGCCUUUGGGCACAACCGGUCUCAGGUGCUCAAAUGAUUUCUCUCUCUCUACCUUUCUGCUCUGCCUGGCUCCUCUGGCUUCAUUCUCAAGCAGAUUUUCUCUACAUAUGGUAGCUAAGAUAUCCCUGCCAGUCCCAGUCCCAAGCCUAUAUUUUUCCUGCACCUUAGGAUUUCAGAAGAAUAAAGACACUCUUCUCUAGAUCGAUUCCCAGGAGAAAAACAAAUUGUUUCUAGCCAACCUCAAUCAAGUGCCCAGCCUAUAUGACUGACAGCCUUGCCAGAAUCACAUGCAGUGAGGAAUUGUUCCCAAAAGGAAACAAUGGGAGUGGUCAAAAAAUAAAAAAUAAGUAAUGAAGGAAAGCAUAGUCAGUCAUUCAUUGGCUUUUACUGAAAUUAGAAUGAGAUCAACUUUUCACUGGGCUAGAAAAUCUGUGUCCCUUCUUAGUAAGUUCAGGCUUCUACUAGUGGGAAAACCACUAGGGAAAUGGUGUAUAUCAGUGCUUCUCAAAUCUUCAUGUGCAAACAAAUCACCUGGAGUUUCGGAAAAUGUGUAUUUCUGAUUCAGUAAGUUUGAGGUAGGGCUCAAGAUUCUGUAGGUAGCGUAAGUUUCCAGGUCAUGCUGAUUCUUCUGGUUCAUGGGCCACACUUUGAGUGGCAAAGGUGGACCUUGAUCACUACUGAAAUUCUGUCUGACCCCAAGAGCACAGCUCCCUGGCUUCCUUUCUUCAGAAUCGUUUCACCAUCUUCACUUUGCCAGAGCCCAUGGAUAAACCUGUCUUUACUGCCACCAUCUGAGAGUUAACGUGGCUAAGGUCCCUGCCUUUUUUAACCUCCUGGAGCAGUUUUACUGGCUUCUGCUUUGGGUAUAAAAGAAUCCCUAGUGGGCAAGGCCUUCUCUGUGACUGGCACCUGUUGAAGCUGAUACACUCUGCUGAGCAGUUAGGCCUCGUGGCUGUUUGACAGCCUUUCAGUUUGUAUUCUCCUAAAUUAUGGAGAGUUUAGAAAAACUGUACUACUGAUAGUGCUACUUUCUGGACAUACAAAAUUACUUUUUGCAUAAUUCACAACAAAUUCAUAAGUCUUCCUCAGCAUCUGGAUGUUCCUGCUCAUUUAGCAUGCAGGUGUAUAAAAGAUGUAUAAGACCUUCACUGGGAUGCUCUCCAGACAUAAUACCCAUCAGCCGCAUCCUGAACAACAAGGAUUUCAUCUAGGCUUUCACACAGGGACAUGAGAACGUGAACAAGUGGAACAAAGCAUUAUUUGGCUGAACGUUACACUUCUGUGCCUCCCUCGCUGCUUUUUUACAAGCAAAACCUGACUUCCUUCCCCACCAACACCCCACAACUGAGCCCACAUCCAACUUUCUGCUUGUUAUCUCUGUGAAGGAGCAAAGGGUGAAGAAACCACCUAGUAGGACUGAGGAAAAUCACAUCAUGUACUUUUCUCCAACAUCUUCAAUAGGCGAGUGACAAUGAACUUCAAGGAUGGUCUUAAUGGGGGAAGAGAAUUCUCGAAUGCUACAUGUGGAAGCAGAGAGGCAAUCCUACCCUGACCUGGGAGAUCUCAGGAGUUUUUGGGUAGACUGUAUGUAGAAGAGUGUAUGUAAAUUUUAUUUGGAGAAACCAUCUCCUUCUUCUCUGCUUUUCUCCCUCUCUGAGUCACUGCCCAAGAAGCAGCCAUGCUGAGGAAGAAAGCGGGACAUGUGGAGUUUGGGCACCACCAGCCAACUCCCUCACCGCACCGCACUCCCAGCCCUCUAGUUAAGAGCUGCACGCACCAUCCUCUCGCAAAUAUCUGUCCCGGAGUCAUAGCUCACUACACAGUGCCUAAGAAGAUGAAAAUGUCAGGCUAGUCAAGUGCUUGAUUGCAGCCACUUGCUUGAGGUACAGGAUUCAAUUUCCUUUAUGCAAAAUAAGCCAUUCUUGGGAAUCAAAAAUUCAUACCACAUUUUGUGUAAAUCUGAUGGGAAAUUUUGUCUGGGGAAAUUCUUGCAACUUAAGAUAUGUAAAUUCACUAUUUGAUUGUAAUGCCAACCCAUGAUCCAGUGCUACUACCCUGCCUCUUAUAAGAUGAGAGGCUAUAAACACCAGUAUAUUAAAAAUGUAUUCACCAAAGUAAAAUUAGUGCUCAGCAGACUCUUAUUUUUCUAGAAUUUUAUUUCUCAGAUGGAUUAGUAUAAUUUUUAGUGGUACGUAUUGCCAGCCUAUAAUAAAUACGUAAGCCCAUCAAAACCUGAUAGAAAACUCCAUUAGAUAAUACACUGGGAACUGGGGAUUAAUUCUAUACUAGCCCCAGGGGAUGCCCCUUGUGACCUAAUAGAAUGUUUCCAAUUCUAAUUUAUCUGGUUCUGUGAAAUCAAUUUUUCUACAAACUAUAACCAGUACAUGAGUGUUUUGCAAAAACUAAUCAUAUUGGCAUAAUAAGCAUGUCAAGUUACGGUGAAAUGGACAUUCUGUUGUUCUUUUAUUGAAACUAAUGGGCUAGCAUUAGAAGGAAUAAAAUACCGGAAAUGAUAACA